rnacentral:rRNA from 1 species
CAGCAGCCGCGGGAAUACGAAGGGGGCUAGCGUUGUUCGGAUUUACUGGGCGUAAAGCGCACGUAGGCGGACUUUUAAGUCAGGGGUGAAAUCCCGGGGCUCAACCCCGGAACUGCCUUUGAUACUGGAAGUCUUGAGUAUGGUAGAGGUGAGUGGAAUUCCGAGUGUAGAGGUGAAAUUCGUAGAUAUUCGGAGGAACACCGGUGGCGAAGGCGGCUCACUGGACCAUUACUGACGCUGAGGUGCGAAAGCGUGGGGAGCAAACAGGAUUAGAUACCCGAGUAGUCCCUGUCUCUUAUAC